rnacentral:rRNA from 1 species
GGCGGCGUGCCUAAUACAUGCAAGUCGAGCGGAUUGAUGGGAGCUUGCUCCCUGAUAUCAGCGGCGGACGGGUGAGUAACACGUGGGUAACCUGCCUGUAAGACUGGGAUAACUCCGGGAAACCGGGGCUAAUACCGGAUAACUCAUUUCCUCGCAUGAGGAAAUGUUGAAAGGUGGCUUUUAGCUAUCACUUACAGAUGGACCCGCGGCGCAUUAGCUAGUUGGUGAGGUAACGGCUCACCAAGGCGACGAUGCGUAGCCGACCUGAGAGGGUGAUCGGCCACACUGGGACUGAGACACGGCCCAGACUCCUACGGGAGGCAGCAGUAGGGAAUCUUCCGCAAUGGACGAAAGUCUGACGGAGCAACGCCGCGUGAGUGAUGAAGGUUUUCGGAUCGUAAAGCUCUGUUGUUAGGGAAGAACAAGUGCCGUUCGAAUAGGGCGGCACCUUGACGGUACCUAACCAGAAAGCCACGGCUAACUACG